rnacentral:rRNA from 1 species
UGCAAGUCGAACGCCCCGCAAGGGGAGUGGCAGACGGGUGAGUAACGCGUGGGAACAUACCCUUUCCUGCGGAAUAGCUCCGGGAAACUGGAAUUAAUACCGCAUACGCCCUACGGGGGAAAGAUUUAUCGGGGAAGGAUUGGCCCGCGUUGGAUUAGCUAGUUGGUGGGGUAAAGGCCUACCAAGGCGACGAUCCAUAGCUGGUCUGAGAGGAUGAUCAGCCACAUUGGGACUGAGACACGGCCCAAACUCCUACGGGAGGCAGCAGUGGGGAAUAUUGGACAAUGGGCGCAAGCCUGAUCCAGCCAUGCCGCGUGAGUGAUGAAGGCCUUAGGGUUGUAAAGCUCUUUCACCGAUGAAGAUAAUGACGGUAGUCGGAGAAGAAGCCCCGGCUAACUUCGUGCCAGCAGCCGCGGUAAUACGAAGGGGGCUAGCGUUGUUCGGAAUUACUGGGCGUAAAGCGCACGUAGGCGGAUAUUUAAGUCAGGGGUGAAAUCCCGCAGCUCAACUGCGGAACUGCCUUUGAUACUGGGUAUCUUGAGUAUGGAAGAGGUAAGUGGAAUUCCGAGUGUAGAGGUGAAAUUCGUAGAUAUUCGGAGGAACACCAGUGGCGAAGGCGGCUUACUGGUCCAUUACUGACGCUGAGGUGCGA